rnacentral:rRNA from 1 species
UACGUAGGGGGGCAAGCGUUGUCCGGAAUCAUUGGGCGUAAAGAGCGCGUAGGCGGUCCGGUAAGUCGGUUGUGAAAAACUGGGGGGCUCAGCCCUCAGAGGCCGACCGAUACUGUCGGGCUAGAGUCCGGAAGAGGCGAGUGGAAUUCCUGGUGUAGCGGUGAAAUGCGUAGAUAUAGGAAGGAACACCAGUGGCGAAGGCGACCACCUGGACUGAUACUGACACUGAGGUGCGAAAGCGUGGGGAGCAAACAGG